rnacentral:rRNA from 1 species
AUGUCCGGAGCGGGAGGCAAGUGGAUGGUCUCCUCCGUCACGGAGGAGCACAUCGCAAAGCUACGGGAAGCUGAAUAUUUGGCCGCGGACAUCGCGCACCGGCUGCCAGAUGUGGGGCAGAUCAUCCCUACGCCCACACCCCAUGAGAGGGUAGUUUUCCUUACCCACUUUGUCCGUGGACUGGGAUUUCCCCUUCACCCAUUUGUUCGCGGGCUCAUGUUCUACUACGGGCUGGAUUUUCAUGAUCUGGCCCCAAUUUCAUCCUCAACAUCUCGGCGUUUAUCGUCGUGUGCGAGGCCUUCCUCCGCAUUAGGCCCCACUUCGGCCUGUGGCUGA